UGUGGAAAGUGACCAUGAAGGACCCUUCCGGAGGGCCCCCCCCAAUCCUGUUGUGCUUGGUUCAGAGGGUUGGGCGGAGGCUUUCCUGAAGGGUCUGAGAGAGCAGCACCCACAGGC
rnacentral:pre_miRNA from 8 species